rnacentral:rRNA from 1 species
UACAGAGGUCCCAAGCGUUGUUCGGAUUCACUGGGCGUAAAGGGUGCGUAGGUUGCCGGUUAAGUCUGACGUGAAAUCUCCGAGCCUAACUCGGAAACUGCAUCGGAAACUAUCCGGCUCGAGGGUUGGAGGGGGGACUGGAAUACUUGGUGUAGCAGUGAAAUGCGUAGAUAUCAAGUGGAACACCAGUGGCGAAGGCGAGUCCCUGGACAACUCCUGACACUGAGGCACGAAAGCUAGGGGAGCAAACAGG